GUCUCAGUUCGGAUUGAAGGCUGAAAUUCGCCUUCCAUGAAGCCGGAAUUGCUAGUAAUGGCAGGUCAGCAUACUGCCGUGAAUACGUUCCCGGGCCUUGUACACACCGCCCGUCACACCAUGAGAGUUGGGAAUACCCGAAGCCUGUGAGCUAACUUUAGGGAGGCAGCAGUCGAAGGUAGAAUCAAUGAUUGGGGUGAAGUCGUAACAAGGUACC
rnacentral:rRNA from 1 species